rnacentral:rRNA from 1 species
UCCUACGGGAGGCAGCAGUGGGGAAUAUUGGACAAUGGGGGGAACCCUGAUCCAGCCAUGCCGCGUGUGUGAAGAAGGCCCUCGGGUUGUAAAGCACUUUCAGCGAGGAAGAACGCCUAGCGGUUAAUACCCGCUAGGAAAGACAUCACUCGCAGAAGAAGCACCGGCUAACUCCGUGCCAGCAGCCGCGGUAAUACAGAGGGUGCAAGCGUUAAUCGGAAUUACUGGGCGUAAAGCGCGCGUAGGUGGCUUGAUAAGCCGGUUGUGAAAGCCCCGGGCUCAACCUGGGAACGGCAUCCGGAACUGUCAAGCUAGAGUGCAGGAGAGGAAGGUAGAAUUCCCGGUGUAGCGGUGAAAUGCGUAGAGAUCGGGAGGAAUACCAGUGGCGAAGGCGGCCUUCUGGACUGACACUGAUACUGAGGUGCGAAAGCGUGGGUAGCAAACAGGAUUAGAUACCCUGGUAGUCCACGCCGUAAACGAUGUCGACCAGCCGUUGGGUGCCUAGCGCACUUUGUGGCGAAGUUAACGCGAUAAGUCGACCGCCUGGGGAGUACGGCCGCAAGGUUAAAACUCAAAUGAAUUGACGG